rnacentral:rRNA from 1 species
UAAUGUGAAUUGCAGAAUUCAGUGAACCAUCGAAUCUUUGAACGCACAUUGCGCCCGCCAGCAUUCUGGCGGGCAUGCCUGUCCGAGCGUCAUU